rnacentral:rRNA from 1 species
UUAAAAAGCUCGUAGUUGGAGUUCUGCCAGGUGCCACCUGUCCGCCCCAGUGGUGAGUACGUGGUGCGCUUUGGCCCUUUCAGGGGGAGCGUAUUUGCACUUAAUUGUGUGGUGCGGGAUCCUUGACUUUUACUUUGAGGAAAUAAGAGUGUUCCAAGCAGGCUCUCGUCGUGCAUAGCUCAGCAUGAAUAAUAGCAUUGGACCUCGAUUCUAAGCUGUUGGUUGCCAGAAGCGAGGUAAUGAUGAAGAGGGAUAGUUGGGGGCAUUCGUAUUUAACUGUCAGAGGUGAAAUUCUUGGAUUUGUUAAAGACGGACUACUGCGAA